rnacentral:rRNA from 1 species
UGGGGAAUAUUGCACAAUGGGCGCAAGCCUGAUGCAGCAACGCCGCGUGAGGGACGACGGCCUUCGGGUUGUAAACCUCUUUUAGUAGGGAAGAAGCGAAAGUGACGGUACCUGCAGAAAAAGCACCGGCUAACUACGUGCCAGCAGCCGCGGUAAUACGUAGGGUGCGAGCGUUGUCCGGAAUUAUUGGGCGUAAAGAGCUCGUAGGCGGUCUGUCGCGUCUGCUGUGAAAACCCGAGGCUCAACCUCGGGCCUGCAGUGGGUACGGGCAGACUAGAGUGCGGUAGGGGAGAAUGGAGUUCCUGGUGUAGCGGUGGAAUGCGCAGAUAUCAGGAGGAACACCGAUGGCGAAGGCAGUUCUCUGGGCCCGUAACUGACGCUGAGGAGCGAAAGCGUGGGGAGCGAACAGGAUUAGAUACCCUGGUAGUCCACGCCGUAAACGUUGGGCGCUAGAUGUGGGGCACCAUUCCACGGUUUCCGUGUC